GAAGACGAAGAUACAGAGAGAUCGAAAAGCCGCACGUCUACAUCUCUCCAUCUCCACGUUUUCUCCUCUGUCUCCCUACCUCCCUCGCGCGAUCGUGCCGCCUCCCGGCGACCCCUGCCACGCCGUUCACCCCUCUCCCGGCCCACUCCCUCGGCGACGCCGCGUCCCUCGAUGUCCGUGCUCUAGGGAAACACAAGCGGCUCCGCUUGGUCCGCCGCCCACCGGCGACUAUGUCGACCACCGCCACGGUCGGCUUCCUGGCUCCCGUCUCUAGACGCACGCUCAAGUACCGUCUUGAUCUACUCCAACAAGUCCGCCACCGCCGUCACCGUCGCCGUGGCCAUAUCAAGGUCACCCCAUCCUCGCAUUUGCCCGCGGACGUCAGAGCCCUCGCGCCCAUUUGGCACUCCGGGAUUCUCGGAAACUAACAGGGGAAAUGGGCAAGUCGUGCAAAAGCCAGGCUUCUUGCUAGUGAUGCUUGUUGGCAGAAUAUGUGAUAGAAUCCUAUUGAAGUACUCAUUAAUGGAGGUACUUGUUGUGGAGAGGUUCCUGCAUACGUAGCAUUGAGGGAUGACUUGGUGACCACAAGGAGCUCCUCUCUGUGCCCUUCGCCGUAAUUAAUGUACCUGCCCAUUUAUAACUAGGAAUUGCGACGUAAUCAUUGUUUUUGUAUGGUACUGUGUAGAAAAGGUUUUUUAGAUCUUCAGAUUUUAAUUGAGACGUGGCAGAUUCUAAUAUGUCAUUAGGUGUUUCAUGUGUAAUCUUCUCUAGUCUGCUGAAAAUGCUAACUAAGGCUGCUCAUAGUGGGGAGUAACUUAGACUAGUAACAUAUGCCAUGUUACUAGUCUAUGUUACUAUCUUCAUAGUGGGUAGUAACUUAUAUGUGGUGUCAUGCAUUGUGUCAUUUAUUAUGUUGUAGACUCAUUUUGUCUUGGGGUGUGUGAUGUUAUGGUAACAUAGCUAGUUACCACCUCAUUCUCUUUCUUCAUUUAUUCGCAUGCCAUGUCACCAAAAUGCCUUGAGAUGUGUGAUGUUACUAGCUAUGUUACUCCCACUAUGAGCAGUCUAAGGAACUACCAUGUAUAUUGAUGAUUAAUUCGUAAGAGGCACUUUGCUGACAAUAAUUAUACUGCCUUAGAAAAUAUUUGUUGGUUUUAGCUACGACCAAAACAGAAACAACUUGUAAGAUUCUGUAGCUAGCAGUCCAACAACUAUCAGGGUAGUGUAAAUUAGGGAUUGCUGGGAUUUAUCUUCAUUUUGUUGGGGAAAAAGCAUUUACUUCUGCAUGAACUAGGUGGUUUGGAUUCAUUCUACAUUUGUAUGACUUGAGGCAACAAUAUUGAUAUUAUUAAUUGUUGAAGCAUUUACUUCUGCCUGAACUAGAUUUAUCUUCAUUUUGUUGGGAACUAUAGGGAUGAUUGGCAUCUUGUGAUUUUGUAGUGAUAUUAUUAAUUGUUGAAGCUUGCUGCCUCAAUAUUGUUACCUCAAGUCAUUCAAGUUCUGUCGGUUCAUCUUUUAUUAGAUAUUGAGCCUAUUUAGAUUUGAAAAUACGUUCUUUUGAAUAUCUAUGUGU